AAAGAGCCCACAACACUGAGGCUUCCUUCAAUGUGGAGGCAGCCGGGCUCGAACCUGGGUGGCACACAUGGCAAAGCAGUCCACUACCCAGGCCUCAGGUCACAAGCCUCUGUACCUGGAAGUGUUAAGGCAGACAUCGGGACCAGAUGGGCAGCUGUUGGGGGCGACUGUUCGCUAGAUCCUGUGUUUUAAUAAAAAUCAGAGAUGAGUUUCAUUGA